AUUUGAACAACUUUUGGUGGCCAUUACGUGCGUCUCGGUUUUUUUUAACAAGAAAUAUUUACGGGCGAUAUCAAACGAACCGCAGUGACAAUGGCAAAAUCUAAGAGCAAAUCUGUGGACGCAGACCUGAUCGGUGUCAAAAAUUCCGAACUCUUAAUAAAGCUCACAAAGUCGUCAUCAAAGUCCAUUGCAUGGUCAUAUUUCGGAUAUUUAUGUUUCCGGGCUGAUGAACGGGUCGUCGAAAGUCAACGGGACAAGUGGUUUUGUAAUGUGUGUUUCUCCGAAGCUGAUGAAACCAGGUUGCUUGUCGAAAGCGGUGUAAAAGUAUUUUCAUCUUCGAUCAGCACAACCACGUUGAUCAAUCAUGUACAGAAAGACCACAAAAUUUCUCUUCAUUCGAAAACCGCUGAACAAACUAAACGAAGUAUUCAGAGCUAUUUUGCUACAGAUAGGACUGCUACAACGUCAUCGAGCAAGAAAGAGGCUAAAUUUGUUUUGACGCGAGACUUGGUUCUAUUUUGUUGCAGAGAUCUUCUACCAUUUAGUUUAGUAGAUGGCCAGGGACUGCGUGACUUU